UCAGCCCAACCAGGGUAAAGCAAUGCCCUUUGAGGAUACAAGAUUGUAGGAGGAUAAAAGAAAUAAAAAUAAUUUUUUUUUAAAUUUUGGAUUACUAAUUGGAUAGAAAUCCAAAUACAACACCCAAUCUUGCAAAUGAAAAAUUGGAUGGCAAGAGCUAUAGUUUGGUACAAGAUUUGAGGGCAAUUGAUAAAAAAGUUGAAUAUAUACAACACAUGGUGUAUAUCUUUAUUAACCAAGUAAGGAAUAAGCAGGUGAGGUUUACCGUUCUGGACUUGAAGUACACCUUUUCCUGCCUGGUUUUGCAAAAGAAAGUCUAAAAUUAUUGCCUUUGAAUAGGAAAACUCAAAUAUGGAAAGAAGAAAAAAAAUAAUAAUAAUUAAAAGUAAUAAUAAUAAUAAUUCAGUUAACCUGCACAGUGAUACCCAGGGUUGUGAGAACAGCCCAGUGAUUUUUGAGAACUGGUCAACUCGUGAGCCUGAGAUUUGGGUUCACCAUCUCACAGUGGAACUUUACUGCAGUACGUGGAUGCUACAGUAACAAAGGACUGUGUGCAAUGGACUGUGAGCUUGCUGAAUUUCUUGAUUUAAAUGGCUAUCAAGUUUCUCAACAGAAAGAACAACCGAUCAAAGAGAAGGAAGCAACUUGCUGAAUACCCAGAACGCCAACACAGAGCUGCCUCCAAGCCAGCAGUGUGUGACUGCAUGGAGACUACGUGUGCAAGUUGGUCAGAGCUACAGGAGGAACCGUUGGACGAUGCUGAGGAGUCCUGGAUUCAUCGACGGAAGCAGUUUUGUGAAGACAAGGAAACCGUAAGGCAGGACAUGCAGUAACUGCUAUUGACAAGAUUCGCCCCUGGAACCAAGUUCUUUUUGGGAGUCCUUCUACUUAACUUGGGGAAGAUCUCUGAUAAGUUUACAUCACUUAUCGUAUAGACGAACCUUCCCAGGAACGCACACUCUGUAUAUAUGUAUAUAUAUAUAUUUUGUCAUACACACUGCAAGAAUAUCCUGCACGAGAGCAAACCAGAGAACAAGCCAUGGCCUGCCCGAGGAAGCGCCUGACAUUGAGAAGGCCUGACAUCAUCCCCCAGUGCUCUUUGUUUAACGAUGAGGACUUUAAAGAAAAUCACCAUAUCAAUAGGACAAGGAGAGCACCGAGAAGACAUCUUGGAAACAACAGGAUGA